rnacentral:rRNA from 1 species
UACGUAGGGGGCAAGCGUUGUCCGGAAUCAUUGGGCGUAAAGAGCGUGUAGGCGGUUCGGUAAGUCGGCUGUGAAAGUCCAGGGCUCAACCCUGGGGUGCCGGUCGAUACUGCCGGACUAGAGUUCGGAAGAGGCGAGUGGAAUUCCCGGUGUAGCGGUGAAAUGCGCAGAUAUCGGGAGGAACACCUAUGGCGAAGGCAGCUCGCUGGGACGUUACUGACGCUGAGACGCGAAAGCGUGGGGAGCAAACAGG